AUACUUACCCGACAGGGGAAAUAUCAUGAUCACUAAGGUGAGGGCAAGGCUCAUCCAUUGCACUCUGGGUGUGCUGAUCUCUGUGGUUUCCCCAAAUGUGGCAAACCUGACUGCAUAAUUUUUGGUAGUGGGGGACUGAAUUUGUGCUUUCUCCUA
ensembl:snRNA U1 U1 spliceosomal RNA